rnacentral:rRNA from 1 species
CCUACGGGAGGCAGCAGUGGGGAAUAUUGGGCAAUGGGCGCAAGCCUGACCCAGCAACGCCGCGUGAAGGAAGAAGGCUUUCGGGUUGUAAACUUCUUUUCUGAGGGACGAAGAAAGUGACGGUACCUCAGGAAUAAGCCACGGCUAACUACGUGCCAGCAGCCGCGGUAAUACGUAGGUGGCAAGCGUUAUCCGGAUUUAUUGGGUGUAAAGGGCGUGUAGGCGGGAAAGCAAGUCAGAUGUGAAAACUCAGGGCUCAACCCUGAGCCUGCAUGUGAAAAUGUUUUUCUUGAGUGCUGGAGAGGCAAUCGGAAUUCCGUGUGUAGCGGUGAAAUGCGUAGAUAUACGGAGGAACACCAGUGGCGAAGGCGGAUUGCUGGACAGUAACUGACGCUGAGGCGCGAAAGCGCGGGUAUCGAACAGGAUUAGAUACCCCAGUAGUC